rnacentral:rRNA from 1 species
CAGCAGCCGCGGUAAUACAGAGGCCUCAAGCGUUGUUCGGAUUCAUUGGGCGUAAAGGGUGCGUAGGUGGCUUGGUAAGUUGAAGGUGAAAUCUCGGGGCUUAACCCCGAAACUGCCUUCAAUACUGCUAGGCUCGAGGACUGUAGAGGAGAAUGGAAUUCACGGUGUAGCAGUGAAAUGCGUAGAUAUCGUGAGGAAGACCAGUGGCGAAGGCGAUUCUCUGGGCAGUUCCUGACACUGAGGCACGAAGGCCAGGGGAGCAAACGGGAUUAGAUAUCCCUGUAGUCCCUGUCUCUUAUAC